UACGAAGGGUGCAAGCGUUACUCGGAAUUACUGGGCGUAAAGCGUGCGUAGGCGGUUUGUUAAGUCUGAUGUGAAAGCCCUGGGCUCAACCUGGGAAUGGCAUUGGAUACUGGCAACCUAGAAUGUGGUAGAGGGUGGCGGAAUUCCCGGUGUAGCAGUGAAAUGCGUAGAUAUCGGGAGGAACAUCCGUGGCGAAGGCGGCCACCUGGACCAACAUUGACGCUGAGGAGCGAAAGCUAGGGGAGCAAACGGG
rnacentral:rRNA from 1 species